CAGGCCAGGUGCUGCCUGCUCUUUGCUGAGUGUGGGUGGAGGCAGCUGUAGAAACCGGGAGGAGCUGAUAGAAGACAAAGGGAGCAGAAGUAAGUCUACAGUCCUCAAAGAAAUUGGCAAAUGCUGCCUGGAGCAUCUGGGACUGAGACUUUGUCCUGGGGCACACAGAAGCACCUCCGAGAUCUGGCAUUGUUGGAGGUUGUUGGCCAUGCAGGCCAUGAAGGACCCAGCACAGGUUUAGUGCUAUCCCAGGCCUGGUGUCUGUGUGAAUCACCUCUGUUCACCCAGCCUGUCUGGGUAAGCUGCUCUGUCUUCUAGAAACAGGAUAGCCAUGGAAAAACAGACUGGGGAGCCUUCUGGUUUAUGGACUAGCACCAGACUUGCCCGUGUAAUUACAAGACCUUUAUUGCUAGGCGAAGCAGAAAAGGCUUUGCCGGGCUCUCAGAUCAUAGGCUAGACUUGCAGAGGUGGCAGUUAAAAAAUAGUGAUCUUUUGACCUGAAAACUGAGCCUAUUUCAUAUGGAGGGAAACAAAAACAAAAUCCAGCAACAAAAAAAAGCCAACAACACCACCAAACCAACUGAAAAACAAAUUACAGAGUUCCUCUAACGCUAACCACACUCUGGGGAGCUAAAUAUGUCUCUCUCAAAUGUUCAAAGCAUCUAAUUAGCAAAGCCAGGCAGUCACUAAGGAGACCACCAGCCAUCUCUGAGCAAGACACGUGUGUUUUGCUGACGGUGUUGGCAAGGUCACCCCUCUCCCUUCUUUCCCACCCCCCACCUCCAGACCUGACGGAGCGGGGAGCAUCUGCCAUCCAUUUCCCCCUGCCAGGGAGUGACAGGAAAGGUUCACCGGGAAGAUGAGAAGCAUGACUGAUGGCAGCAGAGCCUUGCUGAAUUAUUGCCUCUUGCGUGGGGAGCAGAGAUUUGCUUUGGGGAUGCUGGGUUGUAAAUCAUCCAUCUCCUUCUUUUAAAGGUGAUCUGAAGAGCUUUGCAUGCAAGAGGGAAUUAACCAAUUAUUUCAGAGGACAGGAUAGCAUUUGUAAGCUUCAAGCUCAGAUAUGUUUACAUAUUGAAAAUGAGAACUGAAAAUCACUUCUUUGGUAGAGAAGAAAGAAAGCAAACCUCAUUUUU